rnacentral:rRNA from 1 species
GACAGAGGGUGCAAACGUUGUUCGGAAUUACUGGGCGUAAAGCGCGUGUAGGCGGCUAAGUAAGUCGGGCGUGAAAUCCCACGGCUCAACCCGGGAAGGGCACCCGAAACUGCACGGCUUGAGUACCGGAGAGGUUGGUGGAAUUCUCGGUGUAGAGGUGAAAUUCGUAGAUAUCGAGAGGAACACCGGUGGCGAAGGCGGCCAACUGGACGAGUACUGACGCUGAGACACGAAAGCGUGGGGAGCAAACAGG